rnacentral:SRP_RNA from 12 species
UGUGCGUCGCUUCCUCCAGCUUCGAAGCGAUGACCGUGGCGUCUUCGAUCGCCUGGCAGCCUCCCUGGCCGAGGUUGGGCAUCAUGGCGUGAAUCGCAUCACCGAGCAGCGCUACGUUGCCUUUGGUCCAUGGCUUGAACACAGACGGCGG